AAGCCGCCGCAGCCGCCGCCGCCGAAGCCGCAGCCGCAGCCGCAGCCGCCGCCGCCGCAGCCGCAGCCGCCGCCGCCGCCGCGCCCCCUCCUACCGGAGCAUGUGACCAGGCGCAAGCCCCAGUGCCACAGCAGGACCGGUCGCAGUACCUCACAAGCACAGUGAUAGUACUGUGCCUAUUAGCCCUGGCACUGGGCUACUAUUUCGUCACCAACGAUGAUGCCAGGCCUACAUCGACGGCCAUCACCACUGCCGCGACUCCACCACCGGUGGAAAAAACAACUUCGUCGACUACAACGAACGCACCAGACAAACAAGGUGAGAGUUGAG